rnacentral:rRNA from 1 species
GUCCACGCCGUAAACGUUGGGCACUAGGUGUGGGACUCUAUCGACGGGUUCCGUGCCGUAGCUAACGCAUUAAGUGCCCCGCCUGGGGAGUACGGCCGCAAGGCUAAAAACUCAAAGGAAUUGACGGGGGCCCGCACAAGCGGCGGAGCAUGUGGCUUAAUUCGAUGCAACGCGAAGAACCUUACCUGGGCUGAACUAUGCGGGAAAAGCAGCAGAGAUGCUGUGUCCUUCGGGGUCCGCGAUAGGUGGUGCAUGGCUGUCGU